GCCUGGCUCAGUUGGUAGAGCAUGUGACUCUUGAUCUCAGGUUCUUGUGAGUUCAAGCCCCACAUUGGGCA
rnacentral:tRNA from 1 species